GCGGAGGGAUCAUUACCGAGUUUACAACUCCCAAACCCAAUGUGAACGUUACCAAACUGUUGCCUCGGCGGGAUCUCUGCCCCGGGUGCGUCGCAGCCCCGGACCAAGGCGCCCGCCGGAGGACCAACCUAAAACUCUUAUUGUAUACCCCCUCGCGGGUUUUUUUUAUAAUCUGAGCCUUCUCGGCGCCUCUCGUAGGCGUUUCGAAAAUGAAUCAAAACUUUCAACAACGGAUCUCUUGGUUCUGGCAUCGAUGAAGAACGCAGCGAAAUGCGAUAAGUAAUGUGAAUUGCAGAAUUCAGUGAAUCAUCGAAUCUUUGAACGCACAUUGCGCCCGCCAGUAUUCUGGCGGGCAUGCCUGUCCGAGCGUCAUUUCAACCCUCGAACCCCUCCGGGGGGUCGGCGUUGGGGAUCGGCCCUCCCUUAGCGGGUGGCCGUCUCCGAAAUACAGUGGCGGUCUCGCCGCAGCCUCUCCUGCGCAGUAGUUUGCACACUCGCAUCGGGAGCGCGGCGCGUCCACAGCCGUUAAACACCCAACUUCUGAAAUGUUGACCUCGGAUCAGGUAGGAAUACCCGCUGAACUUAAGCAUAUCA
rnacentral:sRNA from 1 species